rnacentral:rRNA from 1 species
CCAAUAGCGUAUAUUAAAGUUGUUGCAGUUAAAAAGCUCGUAGUUGAAUUUCGGGAUCAAUGCGUCGGUCGUGCCUUCGGUACGUACUAGCGUCAUUGAUUCCUCCCUUCUGAAGAACCGUGAUGUCAUUAAUUUGGUGUUACGGGGAAUCAGGACUGUUACCUUGAAAAAAUUAGAGUGUUUAAAGCAGGCUAACGCUUGAAUACAUUAGCAUGGAAUAAUGAAAUAGGACGUUCGAACCUAUUUUGUUGGUUUCUAGGAUCGACGUAAUGAUUAAUAGGGAUAGUUGGGGGCAUUAGUAUUCAAUUGUCAGAGGUGAAAUUCUUGGAUUUAUUGAAGACUAACUACUGCGAAAGCAUUUGCCAAGGAUGUUUUCAUUAAUCAAGAACGAAAGUUAGGGGAUCGAAGACGAUCAGAUACCGUCGUAGUCUUAACCAUAAACUAUGCCGACUAGGGAUCGGAUGAUGUUAAUUUUUUAAUGACUCAUUCGGCGCCUUACG